rnacentral:rRNA from 1 species
CAGGACGAACGCUGGCGGCGUGCCUAACACAUGCAAGUCGAGCGAGGAGAUUCCUUCGGGAUGAUCCUAGCGGCGGACGGGUGAGUAACACGUGGGCAACCUGCCUCAUAGAGAGGAAUAGCCUUCCGAAAGGGAGAUUAAUACCUCAUAACAUUGCAGUUUCGCAUGGAACAGCAAUUAAAGGAGUAAUCCGCUAUGAGAUGGGCCCGCGGCGCAUUAGCUAGUUGGUGAGGUAACGGCUCACCAAGGCGACGAUGCGUAGCCGACCUGAGAGGGUGAUCGGCCACAUUGGGACUGAGACACGGCCCAGACUCCUACGGGAGGCAGCAGUGGGGAAUAUUGCACAAUGGGGGAAACCCUGAUGCCAGCAACGCCGCGUGAGUGAUGACGGCCUUCGGGUUGUAAAGCUCUGUCUUCAGGGACGAUAAUGACGGUACCUGAGGAGGAAGCCACGGCUAACUACGUGCCAGCCGCCGC